AGGAAAUAAAAAGGGAAUUAAGUAUUAUUGAAAAAGAAAAGGAAAAGAAAGAAAUGGGCCAAGCCCAAAAAGGGGAAAAAAACAAAGGAGUUUAAAGUCUGAUGGACAAAACGUGAGAAACAAAAAAAACAGAAAACAGAGAUAGACGCAAAAAGGGAAACGCAGUGCAAGAAAAGAAAAGAAGGGAAGAAAAAGAGGGGAGAAAAUAAGGAUUUUCAACCCAAAUCAUCAAGUUUGAGACAAUCCGGAGACUCGAGAACGCAGUUUUGAUUUAUUGAGAAGUGUGCCUGAAUUGUGAAUUUGAGAUACUGUCGUUGAGAACGAGGCUGGUAAUUGAAGAUUUCGUGAGUGGAUUCUGUUGCUGAGGUGAGCCACCGCAUUGUUCGUGAAGGCAGCCAUUUCAGCUUAUCUAGUUUAUUUCUAGUUAUUUCUUUUAUUUUGGGUUUACAUGCCCGACACUCAAACUCAUGUAACUCUGUUAGAUGCUCCAUGGUUUAGCGUGGGAUGUGGGCUAGAGAUUCUUUUUAUCUUAGCGUUGAUUGGUUUUCAUAAAUCGAUUAUGGAUUUGGUUGGCGACUAUUUCGCAUUUUUAUCAUUAAUAACGUUGUUGGACCCGCACUUAUUUUCUUUUAGUGCUUUUGUAAAUGAUUAAGAGUAUGAUAUAUGGUUCGCCUGGCGGGUGGUGUUCGCUGGGUGCCAAUCACGUCUAGCGGGUAUUUUGGGACGUGACAAAUCUGGUAAAGAAAGUGAUCCUAUUGGAUCUUAGAAAUCAAGAUACAAUUCAAACACGAAUAUUAGAAAUAACCAAAAAGACUCAAAGUCUCAUCAUAAUUCCUGCAUUUCUUACAUUCUGUAGAAAAACAAUAUUACAUAUUGAACUAAUAUAAUUUCUGACUUUUCUUGUAAGCAUCCAACUCUUUUUUCACAACUUUUUCUUCAUUGAAUCCUCCCCACUGUUUAUGUUUUAUGAGCUUUAUCUUUC